rnacentral:rRNA from 1 species
UAGGGGAAUCUUCCACAAUGGGCGAAAGCCUGAUGGAGCAACGCCGCGUGUGUGAUGAAGGGUUUCGGCUCGUAAAACACUGUUGUAAGAGAAGAAUGACAUUGAGAGUAACUGUUCAAUGUGUGACGGUAUCUUACCAGAAAGGAACGGCUAAAUACGNGCCAG